rnacentral:rRNA from 1 species
CCCUUAGAUGUCCUGGGCCGCACGCGCGUUACACUGAUGCAUUCAACGAGCUUAUAACCUUGGCCGACAGGCCCGGGCAAUCUUUGAACGCUGGUCGUGAUGGGGAUAGACUUUUGCAAUUUUUGGUCUUCAACGAGGAAUUCCUAGUAAACGCAAGUCAUCAACUUGCAUUGAUUACGUCCCUGCCCUUUGUACACACCGCCCGUCGCACCUACCGAUUGAAUGGUCCGGUGAAGCCUCCGGAUUGGCGCGCACCUCGGUGCCGCCGAGAAGUUGGCUAAACCUUACCAUUUAGAGGAAGGUGAAGUCGUAACA